UCGUGAGUAACAGUAGUUUUU
rnacentral:piRNA from 1 species